rnacentral:lncRNA from 1 species
GGAGCAGGUUGCAUCCCCUGGCUUUAUAAAAGAUACCUUUCAAUCACACAGCUUACUUUCCUGCUGCUUUAUCUGUGGCACUCAACUAAAAAUAAUGCAAAAUGGAUUAGAAGUAUGGCGUGGACUCCUUCUGAGAAGCUACUUUGUGAGUUACUUGCCAGAAAAUGGAAGAUAGAAGGAACUGUAAAUGACAACUAGAUUUAGGAUUUCAAAGCUGUAAUUAUAAAAGAUGAAUGCACUUGGAAAACGGAGAAGACUUUGAGAGAAGCCUCUCAGAAGAGGAGGAAAGAAUGAACAGCAAGCCUGCAGGUCUGCAGCUGUUACCCAAAGAAGAUGAGUGAAGAAGGACAGAGUAAGGAAUGUCUAAAAGUCUAUCAAAAAGAGAAAGGGAAUUAUCCAUUCUCAUGUCUACAGUGACAAAGAGCACGAGCCUUAGCCACAGGGAGCUGGAAAGCUGCAGCUGAAAGAUCAGAAGGAGCACUCCAACCAUGAGGGUGACCGUAGCAUGGGUCACCCAGGGAGCAGGAGGGGUCUCCACCAAGGAAGCUUUUAGGUCACCGAGACUUCAGUUGAGGAUGCUUCAGGGUAUCACAGGAUGUCUGAGAUGCUGCAUGGUGCUGUUGGCAAUGGCUCAGGACCAGGGCAGGUAGAUGGCUGGAGCAUCCUGACACACCAAACAUACCUUUUAUGGGCAACCAAGCCAAGGCCAAUCUGUCCUGUCAAGCCAGAAUAACACAAACUAGAGAAAAACUGAAGUCUUCUUUCGGAGAAGUGAGGAUUCUUCAGGAGAAAACUCAUUUUUAAAAAAGGAAUGUAUCCAUGGGCAGCAAGCAAGACAGUCUGGUUUACUUGGCUUCUUAAAAUUUUUCAGUAUUUCUGUUGUGAAAAUGCUGAGCCCAACAAAAAGGACACAAUUUCAGAAUGGCCAGAGGUCUGUUGAAAUAUCAGGAAUCAUAGCAGGUGUCUGCCCCUGCAUACUGAGAUGUUUUUAACCUCUUUGCUGGAGUAAGUACAGGUUUUCCCCAAAGGGACCUUUAAGGAGCUCUGUGUUAAUGUCUGGGCAAGUCAGCAGAGACAGAAUAGAUGAAGUUUGCUAUGAGCAAAAAUAAUUCAAUCUGUUUUCAGAGG